rnacentral:sRNA from 1 species
UAUAACGAAUUUAAUAUUUUAUAGUUUUUUAUGCUGCGUUAACACCAAGGGAGUAUGGGGGGAAUCACCGGGGGGAUUAUUGCCCGGCAUCAAUAAGGGGAUAAAAAAAAAGCGCCCGGAGGCGCUUUUGAGA